rnacentral:rRNA from 1 species
UGGGGAAUAUUGCACAAUGGGGGAAACCCUGAUGCAGCGACGCCGCGUGGAGGAAGAAGGUCUUCGGAUUGUAAACUCCUGUUGUCGAGGAAGAUAAUGACGGUACUCAACAAGGAAGUGACGGCUAACUACGUGCCAGCAGCCGCGGUAAAACGUAGGUCACAAGCGUUGUCCGGAAUUACUGGGUGUAAAGGGAGCGCAGGCGGGAGAACAAGUUGGAAGUGAAAUCCAUGGGCUCAACCCAUGAACUGCUUUCAAAACUGUUUUUCUUGAGUAGUGCAGAGGUAGGCGGAAUUCCCGGUGUAGCGGUGGAAUGCGUAGAUAUCGGGAGGAACACCAGUGGCGAAGGCGGCCUACUGGGCACCAACUGACGCUGAGGCUCGAAAGUGUGGGUAGC